UACGGAGGGAGCGAGCGUUGUCCGAAGUUACUGGGCGUAAAGCGCGCGUAGGCGGGAAAUUAAGUGAGAAGUGAAAGGCUGGGGCUUAACCCCAUGCAGUGCUCCUCAUACUGGUUUUCUUGAGGGUGGUAGAGAGAAGUGGAAUGGCUGGUGUAGCGGUGAAAUGCGUAGAUAUCAGGAGGAACACCGAUGGCGAAGGCAGGUCUCUGGGCUGACACUGACGCUCAUGCACGAAAGCGUGGGGAGCAAACAGG
rnacentral:rRNA from 1 species